rnacentral:rRNA from 1 species
AAUCAACGCUGGCGGCGUGCCUAACACAUGCAAGUCGAACGCGAGAGUCCCGCAAGGGACAAUUGAGUGGCAAACGGGUGAGUAACACGUGGGUGACCUGCCUUCGAGUGGGGGAUAACGUCCCGAAAGGGACGCUAAUACCGCAUGACAUCCUGUUUUUGGACAGGCGGAGAUCAAAGCCGGGGAUCGCAAGACCUGGCGCUUGAAGAGGGGCCCGCGUCUGAUUAGCUAGUUGGGAGGUAACGGCUCACCAAGGCGACGAUCAGUAUCCGGCCUGAGAGGGCGGACGGACGCACUGGGACUGAGACACGGCCCAGACUCCUACGGGAGGCAGCAGUGGGAAUCUUGCGCAAUGGGCGAAAGCCUGACGCAGCGACGCCGCGU